rnacentral:rRNA from 1 species
AACGAACGCUGGCGGCAGGCUUAACACAUGCAAGUCGAGCGCCCCGCAAGGGGAGCGGCAGACGGGUGAGUAACGCGUGGGAAUCUACCCAUCUCUACGGAAUAACGCAUGGAAAUGUGUGCUAAUACCGUAUACGUCCUUCGGGAGAUAGAUUUAUCGGAGAUGGAUGAGCCCGCGUUGGAUUAGCUAGUUGGUGGGGUAAAGGCCUACCAAGGGGACGAUCCAUAGCUGGUCAGAGAGGAUGACCAGCCACACUGGGACUGAUACACGGCCGAGAAUCCUACGGGAGGCAGCAGUGGGGAAGAUUGGACAAGGGGCGCAAGCCUGAUCCAGCCUUGCCGCGUGAGUGAUGAAGGCCCUAGGGUGGUAAAGCUCUUUCACCGGUGAAGAUAAUGACGGUAACCGGAGAAGAAGCCCCGGCUAACUUCGUGCCAGCAGCCGCGGUAACAC